AGUGAACGCUGGCGGUAGGCCUAACACAUGCAAGUCGAACGGCAGCACAGUAAGAGCUUGCUCUUACGGGUGGCGAGUGGCGGACGGGUGAGGAAUACAUCGGAAUCUACCUUUUCGUGGGGGAUAACGUAGGGAAACUUACGCUAAUACCGCAUACGACCUACGGGUGAAAGCAGGGGAUCUUCGGACCUUGCGCGAUUGAAUGAGCCGAUGUCGGAUUAGCUAGUUGGCGGGGUAAAGGCCCACCAAGGCGACGAUCCGUAGCUGGUCUGAGGGGAUGAUCAGCCACACUGGAACUGAGACACGGUCCAGACUCCUACGGGAGGCAGCAGUGGGGAAUAUUGGACAAAGGGCGCAAGCCUGAUCCAGCCAUACCGCGUGGGUGAAGAAGGCCUUCGGGUUGUAAAGCCCUUUUGUUGGGAAAGAAAAGCAGCAGGUUAAUACCCCGCUGUUCUGACGGUACCCAAAGAAUAAGCACCGGCUAACUUCGUG
rnacentral:rRNA from 1 species